GACGAACGCUGGCGGCGUGCCUAAUACAUGCAAGUAGAACGCUGAAGGAGGAGCUUGCUUCUCUGGAUGAGUUGCGAACGGGUGAGUAACGCGUAGGUAACCUGCCUGGUAGCGGGGGAUAACUAUUGGAAACGAUAGCUAAUACCGCAUAAGAGUAGAUGUUGCAUGACAUUUGCUUAAAAGGUGCAAUUGCAUCACUACCAGAUGGACCUGCGUUGUAUUAGCUAGUUGGUGGGGUAACGGCUUACCAAGGCGACGAUACAUAGCCGACCUGAGAGGGGGAUCGGCCACACUGGGACUGAGACACGGCCCAGACUCCUACGGGAGGCAGCAGUAGGGACUCUUCGGCAAUGGACGGAAGUCUGACCGAGCAACGCCGCGUGAGUGAAGAAGGUGUUCGGAUCGUAAAGCUCUGUUGUAAGAGAAGAACGAGUGUGAGAGUGGAAAGUUCACACUGUGACGGUAUCUUACCAGAAAGGGACGGCUAACUACGU
rnacentral:rRNA from 1 species